UAAGUAGAUAGUGAAAUCCUGGGGCUCAACCCCUUACACAUUGUCUAAACUGCCAAGCUAGAGGGCGAGAGAGGUAGCUAGAAUUCCUAGUGUAGGAGUGAAAUCCGUAGAUAUUAGGAGGAAUACCGAUGGCGUAGGCAGGCUACUGGCUCGUCCCUGACACUAAGGCACGAAAGCGUGGGGAGCGACCGGGAUUAGAUACCCGUUAGUCCACGCCGUAAACGAUGGAUGCUA
rnacentral:rRNA from 1 species